UACAGAGGGUGCAAGCGUUGUUCGGAAUUAUUGGGCGUAAAGCGCGUGUAGGCGGCUUUGCAAGUCGGGUGUGAAAGCCCUCAGCUUAACUGAGGAAGUGCGCCCAAAACUGCAGAGCUUGAGUACCGGAGAGGAUGGUGGAAUUCCCGAAGUAGAGGUGAAAUUCGUAGAUAUCGGGAGGAACACCGGUGGCGAAGGCGACCAUCUGGACGGAUACUGACGCUGAGACGCGAAAGCGUGGGUAGCAAACAGG
rnacentral:rRNA from 1 species